rnacentral:rRNA from 1 species
UUAAAUUAGUAAGGGCGCAUGGAGGAUGCCUUGGCACUAGAAGCUUAAGAAGGACGUGACAAACAACGAUAUGCUUCGGGGAGCAGUAAGUAUGCUAUGAUCCGGAGAUUUCCGAAUGGGGGAACCCACUAAUGGUAAUGCAUUAGUAUCCUAUAAUGAAUAUAUAGUUAUAGAGAAAGCAACCCGGUGAACUGAAACAUCUAAGUAACCGGAGGAAAAGAAAGAAAAAUCGAUUCCCUGAGUAGUGGCGAGCGAAAGGGGAGUAGCCCAAACCAGCUAGACUGGGGUUGUAGGACCUAGAAUACGGAGUAAAAAAUUCUUAUUAUAGAUGAAAUAUUUGGGAAAGUAUACCAAAGAAGGUGAGAGUCCUGUAAUCGAAAUAAUAAGAACUCCUCUAGGAAUCCUGAGUACGGCGAGGCACGUGGAACCUUGUCGGAAGCAGCGGGGACCAUCCCGCAAGGCUAAAUACUCUCUAGUGACCGAUAGUGAACAAGUACCGUGAGGGAAAGGUGAAAAGAACCCCGGGAGGGGAGUGAAAUAGAAACUGAAACCAUGUGCUUACAAAAAGUCAGAGCUCGUUAAUGAGUGAUGGCGUGCCUUUUGCAGAAUGAACCGGCGAGUUAAUGUUGCAUGCGAGGUUAAGUAGAAAAUACGGAGCCGAAGGGAAACCGAGUCUUAAUAGGGCGAAACAGUAUGUAGUAUUAGACCCGAAACCGAGUGAUCUAGCCAUGAGCAGGUUGAAGUUCUGGUAACACAGAAUGGAGGACCGAACCGACGUACCCGGAAACGUGCGCGGAUGACUUGUGGCUAGCGGUGAAAUUCCAAUCGAACUCGGAUAUAGCUGGUUCUCCCCGAAAUAGGUUUAGGCCUAGCCUUGAGAUAAAGCCACAUGGAGGUAGAGCACUGAAUGUGUGAUGGCACCGUCUAGGUGUACUGAAUGCAAUCAAACUCCGAAUGCCAUGUGAGUAUGCUCAGGAGUCACCGUGCGGGUGAUAACGUCCGUACGGGAAAGGAAAAGAGUCCAAGAUCGUCGAAUAAGGUCCCAAAAUUUGUGCUAAGUGGAAAAGGAUGUGGAGUUGUCAAAACAGCUAGGAGGUUGGCUUAGAAGCAGCCAUCCUUUAAAGAGUGCGUAAUAGCUCACUAGUCGAGUGACACUGCGCCGAAAAUGUACCGGGGCUAAGCACAAUACCGAAGUCACGGAUUCAUGUUAAACAUGAGUGGUAGGGGAGCGUUCCAAGGGCGGAGAAGGUUGACCGUGAGGACAGCUGGAGCGCUUGGAAGUGAGAAUGCCGGUGUGAGUAGCGCAAGCUGGGUGAGAAUCCCGGCCACCGUUUGCCUAAGGGUUCCUGGGGAAGGUUCGUCCUCCCAGGGUUAGUCGGGUCCUAAGACGAGGCUGAAAAGCGUAGCCGAUGGACAACAGGUUGAUAUUCCUGUACUACCUAUAUAACUGAAGGAAUGACGAAGAAGGCUAGUAAGAGCUAGUUAUUGGAUUCUAGUCUAAAUACAAAGGCUGAUUAGUAGGGAAAUCCGUUAAUCGAUAAGGCUGAAGUAUGAUGGUGAAGGAGCUUGCUCCGAAGUCUUAUGACGCCAAGCUUCCAAGAAAAGUUUCUAGGGUUAAUUAUAUAGGUACCCGUACCGAGAACCGACACAGGUGGGCAAGGAGAGUAUCCUAAGGUGAGCGAGAGAACUAUGGUUAAGGAACUCGGCAAAAUGACCCCGUAACUUCGGGAUAAGGGGUGGUCAAGCGAUUGACCCGCAGUAAAGAGGUCCAGGCAACUGUUUACCAAAAACACAGGUUUCUGCCAAGCCGCAAGGCGAAGUAUAGGAGCUGACACCUGCCCAGUGCUGGAAGGUUAAGAGGAUGGCUUAGAAAUGAGGAAACUCGAAUAUUUCGAAGGUCAGAAUUGAAGCCCCAGUGAACGGCGGCCGUAACUAUAACGGUCCUAAGGUAGCGAAAUUCCUUGUCAGGUAAGUUCUGACCCGCACGAAAGGUGUAAUGAUCUGGAUACUGUCUCAACCAUAGACUCGGUGAAAUCUUAAUACCUGUGAAAAUGCAGGUUACCCGCGACAGGACGGAAAGACCCCAUGGAGCUUUACUGUAGCUUGAUAUUGAAGUUCGGUGUGUUAUGUAGAGGAUAGGUGGGAAGCUAUGAAGCUAGGACGCCAGUUCUAGUGGAGCUAACCUUGGAAUACCACCCUUAAUACAUUGAAUUUCUAACCUAGAUCCGUGAUCCGGAUCAGGGACAGUGUCUGGUGGGCAGUUUGACUGGGGCGGUCGCCUCCCAAAAAGUAACGGAGGCGCCCAAUGGUUCCCUCAGAAUGGUUGGAAAUCAUUCAAAGAGCGUAAAGGUAUAAGGGAGCUUAACUGCGAGACCCACAAGUCGAGCAGAUACGAAAGUAGGGCUUAGUGAUCAGGCGAUUCAGUAUGGAAUGGUCGUCGCUUAACGGAUAAAAGUUACCCUGGGGAUAACAGGCUGAUAGCGCCCAAUAGUUCACAUAGACGGCGCUGAUUGGCACCUCGAUGUCGGCUCGUCACAUCCUGGAGGUGAAGUCGCUUCCAAGGGUUGGGCUGUUCGCCCAUUAAAGUGGCACGCGAGCUGGGUUCAGAACGUCGUGAGACAGUUCGGUCCCUAUCCGUCGUGGGCGUAGGAAAAUUGAGGAGAGCUGUCCUUAGUACGAGAGGACCGGGACGGACCUACCUCUGGUGUAUCAGUUGUCACGCCAGUGGCAGCGCUGAGUAGCUAUGUAGGGAAUGGAUAACCGCUGAAAGCAUCUAAGCGGGAAGCCAACUUCAAGAUGAGUUUUCCCAUUUUUUAUAAAGUAAGACUCGUGGAAGACUACCACGUUGAUAGGCUGGAGAUGGAAGCAUAGUGAUAUGUUGAGUUGACCAGUACUAAUAAGUCGAGGAUUUAAUCAU